UCUGCGUUCCCACGCACACACACAAAACCCUCCCCGCGGCCAACACCACCAGCAGCACCAUCCCCAAAGUGAUUUGGCAUCAUCGUGAGCCCUGGAAUAAAUUUCUCGGCCGGCCGUGCUCACGGACAGCUCGGCAGAAAAAGACUCAGGAUGUCCGUCCUGAGCUUGGCAGUCUUCCUGAUGCAGAUGAGAGAGGGGGCUUGCUUUAGGACAAGUCUUCAGCUCCUGAGGUCUUGAUGAGAAGAACAAUGAUGUUCCUGUUGCAGGGUUCUAAUUCCUCAGUCUUGGUUGCACACAGGUAAAAUACUGAAUUACUUUACAAAUUCAUGAUUUAUCUUUUGCUUCUUGACCUAUGCACUCCUUCAGCUCUCUCCUCAGCAACUCCUGUGUUGUCAUCUGAUUCAACACAUGCACAAGAAAAACAUACAGAGGGAGCUGAGUCAUGCUCUAAAUUGGGACCAUCAUCCUCUGAACACAAAAAACAUUCCUCUGCAGCACUU